GACGAACGCUGGCGGCGUGCUUAACACAUGCAAGUCGAACGAAGAGCGAUGGAAGCUUGCUUCUAUCAAUCUUAGUGGCGAACGGGUGAGUAACGCGUAAUCAACCUGCCCUGCAGAGGGGGACAACAGUUGGAAACGACUGCUAAUACCGCAUACGAUCUAAUCUCGGCAUCGAGGAUAGAUGAAAGGUGGCCUCUACAUGUAAGCUAUCACUGAAGGAGGGGAUUGCGUCUGAUUAGCUAGUUGGAGGGGUAACGGCCCACCAAGGCGAUGAUCAGUAGCCGGUCUGAGAGGAUGAGCGGCCACAGUGGGACUGAGACACGGCCCAGACUCCUACGGGAGGCAGCAGUGGGGAAUCUUCCGCAAUGGACGAAAGUCUGACGGAGCAACGCCGCGUGAGGGAUGACGGCCUUCGGGUUGUAAAGCUCUGUUAAUCGGGACGAAAGGCCUUCUUGCGAACAGUUAGAAGGAUUGACGGUACCGGAAUAGAAAGCCACGGCUAACUACGUG
rnacentral:rRNA from 1 species